UUGAAGAAUUGCAAUUCAUCACAGAAAAUCGGUUAGGCAUUCGAUUUAAGUCUUAUCACUUAAAUAUUAGUAUUAUUUUUUCCUUUGUUAUAUAAUUAAUAAUACUUAUAAUUACUAUGCCAGCUCAAGUUGCUUGUUUUAAAAAGAAUUAAAAAUUAGACUAUCUGAUUUAAUUCUGUGUUAUAUUAAUACUACAUGAUUUGCGUUAUUGCAACAUGCUUGAAUCACUCAGAUUUCAACAAUCCGUUCAGGUACACUUGCAAUGGCCAGUGAAAAGGAAUUGUUAGAUUAAUGUGUCCCAAUUAAUAGUCUAAGAGUAUCUGAAUCAUGUUGGGUAAUACGAGUGUUAGUGUUUGAGAGUGGAAUAGUAAAAGAGUUCAAUAAUAAAACAAAUCAAGGCACCCAAAAAAUUGUGACAUUAGUUGACGAAAAGGUAAUUGUUAUUUUA